rnacentral:rRNA from 1 species
AGCAGUAGCCGCGGUAAUACGGAGGAUCCAAGCGUUAUCCGGAAUUAUUGGGUUUAAAGGGUGCGUAGGCGGCAUGCUAAGUCAGGGGUGAAAGACGGUGGCUCAACCAUCGCAGUGCCUUUGAUACUGGUGUGCUUGAAUGUACAUGAGGUAGGCGGAAUGAGACAAGUAGCGGUGAAAUGCAUAGAUAUGUCUCAGAACACCAAUUGCGAAGGCAGCUUACUAAGGUAUGAUUGACGCUGAUGCACGAAAGCGUAGGGAUCAAACAGGAUUAGAUACCCCAGUAGUCCCUGUCUCUUAUAA